GUAAUAUUACCCUCAGAUAUGAAAGAUGAAGAAGUGUGGUGGGGACCUUGAAGGAGUUGAAAGCAGAUAACCAAGGAAUAAAAUAUCAAGAGAUCUAGUACAUCAGAAGGCAGGAGCUAAUGAUGUUAGAGGAGGAUAUGCACAGAGACCCAUGUGCAGUGGUGUGAUGAUACCAUUCCUGAAAUCUUUCCCACAA